CCUACGGGAGGCUGCAGUGGGGAAUAUUGGACAAUGGGCGAAAGCCUGAUCCAGCCAUGCCGCGUGUGUGAAGAAGGCCUUCGGGUUGUAAAGCACUUUCAGUGGGGAAGAAAGCCUUGGGGCUAAUACCCUCGAGGAAGGACAUCACCCACAGAAGAAGCCCCGGCUAACUCCGAGCCAGCAGCCGCGGUAAUACGGAGGGUGCGAGCGUUAAUCGGAAUUACUGGGCGUAAAGCGCGCGUAGGCGGUCUGAUAAGCCGGUUGUGAAAGCCCCGGGCUCAACCUGGGAACGGCAUCCGGAACUGUCAGGCUAGAGUGCAGGAGAGGAAGGUAGAAUUCCCGGUGUAGCGGUGAAAUGCGUAGAGAUCGGGAGGAAUACCAGUGGCGAAGGCGGCCUUCUGGACUGACACUGACGCUGAGGUGCGAAAGCGUGGGUAGCAAACAGGAUUAGAUACCCCGGUAGUC
rnacentral:rRNA from 1 species